UGGGGAAUUUUGGACAAUGGGCGCAAGCCUGAUCCAGCCAUUCCGCGUGCAGGAUGAAGGCCCUCGGGUUGUAAACUGCUUUUGUACGGAACGAAACGGCGCUGGUUAAUACCUGGCGCUAAUGACGGUACCGUAAGAAUAAGCACCGGCUAACUACGUGCCAGCAGCCGCGGUAAUACGUAGGGUGCAAGCGUUAAUCGGAAUUACUGGGCGUAAAGCGUGCGCAGGCGGUGAUGUAAGACAGGUGUGAAAUCCCCGGGCUUAACCUGGGAACUGCAUUUGUGACUGCAUUGCUGGAGUGCGGCAGAGGGGGAUGGAAUUCCGCGUGUAGCAGUGAAAUGCGUAGAUAUGCGGAGGAACACCGAUGGCGAAGGCAAUCCCCUGGGCCUGCACUGACGCUCAUGCACGAAAGCGUGGGGAGCAAAC
rnacentral:rRNA from 1 species